GCAGUGGUGGUUCAGUGGUGCAAUUCUUGCCUUCCAUUUGGGAGACCUGGGUUCAAUUCCUGGCCAAUGCA
rnacentral:tRNA from 1 species